UACGUAGGUGGCAAGCGUUGUCCGGAUUUACUGGGCGUAAAGAGCGCGCAGGCGGUCGCUCAAGUCGCGUGUGAAAGCCCCCGGCUCAACUGGGGAGGGUCACGCGAUACUGAUCGACUGGAAGGCAGGAGAGGGUAGUGGAAUUCCCGGUGUAGUGGUGAAAUGCGUAGAUAUCGGGGAGGAACACCAGAGGCGAAGGCGACUUCCUGGACAAUUGCUGACGCUCAGGCACGAAAGCAUGGGGAGCAAAAGGG
rnacentral:rRNA from 1 species